CAGUACAUAGGAAGUAUCCUACUGUAAGCUGCCAUAAUUUAUGUCUGAAUUGCCUAAAAAUACAUUAUCUCAAACACUGGGGGUCCAGUGGUGGUAGUAUUCUACAAUAAGCUGUCGUGGUAGUUCAGACACAAACCUGGCCCCCCACUUUUGAGAUAUCUUUUUCAGGUAGUUAAUUUAGAGACAAACCACUCCAGCUGUCAUGGUACUAAAAUGCGGGGGAUGUCUGGGAAGGAUGAUGUCUUUGUUUAUAUACUAGAAUAAUGUCUGCAAGUACUAGAAUGAUGUCUUUGUGUAUAUACUAGAAUAAUGUCUGCAAAUCAACGUUGUCUUAGCCGAGAAAAUCAAAGCU